AAAACCUGAAUUUUUGCAUACAUAAAAUAAUCAUAUUAAAGCUACAACUUGAUUAGUGAUGACUAUAUGCAACAAAAUCUAUCAAUUACUCCUUACAGAGCUUUUGAUUAAAACCCUGUAUUCAUCUAACAGCCAUGCAGGAGAAUGGCUAAAGAAAUAGACAAAAAGAUCUUCCCCCUAGCACAAAAAAAGUUUAUCUUCUUACUUAUUUCCUCUGCUGCUUAUGACUCUCCUGUGUCCAUCAGCACAUCCUUCUCCUCAUACUUGACUCCUACCAGGAAUCUUAUUCUUGUCUGUAUGGGAAUCAUAGACAGCAUAUUCAUUGUAUUCCAGGGGACUCAUCUUUGUGCUCUGAUGGAUAUCAAAUGACCACAAGGAACCUUGAUGUCAUCUUCCCAAAUGAAGUGUUCCGAUUCAUCUGUUUUCUUUCUCCCCAGUCCCUUCAUUCCAAUUUUUUUUCCUCAUGAU
rnacentral:misc_RNA from 1 species